UCAUCACAAACAAAGCAGUAACAAUAUUGCUGAGUUUUACCAGCCCUACAAUAAGCUCUAUAGACGUGUUCUGCCCAUGAAUCCCGGCAGGAUCUCCGGCAAUCUAAUGCUGAGCAUUCAGCGGCUGUAAAAGCAAUCACCUUCACGCAAUCAUCUGUAGACAAGAACAUGCAUCAUUGAGGUAAGUCCAAAUUGUGAAACAUUGCAAUGAAAUUCGUGCAGGUCUGCUGAAAAUAUAGACAUGUAGGAGAAAGGAGAUCAAUUUCGUACCAACAUGAAUGGGAUUGCCUAUGCAUAGUUGCACAAUCACCAUAAGGCAAAGGAGAAUGAUUUUUCCCUCCAUAAGAUA
rnacentral:lncRNA from 1 species